rnacentral:rRNA from 1 species
GACGAAGGGGGCUAGCGUUGUUCGGAAUUACUGGGCGUAAAGCGCGUGUAGGCGGCUUUGCAAGUCGGGUGUGAAAGCCCUCAGCUCAACUGAGGGAGUGCGCCCGAAACUGCAGAGCUUGAGUGCCGGAGAGGGUGGCGGAAUUCCCCAAGUAGAGGUGAAAUUCGUAGAUAUGGGGAGGAACACCGGUGGCGAAGGCGGCCACCUGGACGGUAACUGACGCUGAGACGCGAAAGCGUGGGGAGCAAACAGG